ACAAGACUCUCCUUCCCUCCCCACCGCUUCUGGGGCACUUAAAAGUGGGUGGAAUUCUUUCUUGCUGACAGUAGGAAGAGGAAAUGGUUUUCAUUCCACCAUUAUGCAAUCAUCCCUCCAGAGGAGGCAGCUACCAAGUCGGAGGAAUGCUUACCCAAGGUAAGCAGGACGGCUGUGAUGUCCCUGUAAGGAGGCCUCAUGCACACAGAGCAGCUAAUGUUUCCAUGGCAAGCACACAGAGACAAGUGUGUUCCUGAACUUCUCACACAGCCAAUUUGUAUCACCUGAAGUCAAUCCAUGCGAGCUCUGGUUUAAAGCCUAGACAGCUGAAAAACAUGUGUCUUCGACAGAUAAACACUUUCUGUUUUGCCACACAAAUCAUUUGUAUUUUGAUGAUGUCAGCACAAGGCCUAUAUAUAAAAAAA